GACGAACCGUGCGAACGUUAUUCGGAAUCACUGGGCUUAAAGCGCGUGUAGGCGGGCCGGCACGUCGGUCGCUGAAAUCCCCCGGCUCAACCGGGGAAGGGGCGCCGAUACGGCCGGCCUGGAGGGACGUAGGGGGGGCUGGAACUUCCGGUGGAGCGGUGAAAUGCGUUGAGAUCGGAAGGAACGCCCGUGGCGAAAGCGAGCCCCUGGACGUCUACUGACGCUGAGACGCGAAAGCCAGGGGAGCCAAACGGGG
rnacentral:rRNA from 1 species